AAUACGUUCCCGGGCCUUGUACACACCGCCCGUCACACCAUGGGAGUGGGUUGCAAAAGAAGUAGGUAGCUUAACCUUCGGGAGGGCGCUUACCACUUUGUGAUUCAUGACUGGGGUGAAGUCGUAACAAGGUAACCGUAGGGGAACCUGCGGUUGGAUCACCUCCUUACCUUAAA
rnacentral:rRNA from 1 species